rnacentral:rRNA from 1 species
AUAACGACUCUCGGCAACGGAUAUCUCGGCUCUCGCAUCGAUGAAGAACGUAGCGAAAUGCGAUACUUGGUGUGAGUUGCAGAAUCCCGUGAACCAUCGAGUCUUUGAACGCAAGUUGCGCCCCAAGCCUUUAGGCCGAGGGCACGUCUGCCUGGGUGUCACGC